GACGAACGCUGGCGGCGUGCCUAACACAUGCAAGUCGAACGCUAGUAGCAAUAUUAGAGUGGCGCACGGGUGAGUAACACGUAGCUUACCCACCUCCCAGCGCGGGAUAACGGUUCGAAAGAACUGCUAAUACCGCAUAAGCUCACGGCCUGUAGAGGGCUGCGAGAAAAGGCGCAAGUCACUGGGAGACGGGGCUGCGGCCCAUCAGCUCGUUGGUGAGGUAACGGCUUACCAAGGCGACGACGGGUAGGGACCUGAGAGGGUGACCCCUNACACUGGGACUGAGACACGGCCCAGACUCCUACGGGAGGCAGCAGUGAGGAAUAUUGCACAAUGGGCGCAAGCCUGAUGCAGCGACGCCGCGUGGGUGACGAAGGUCUUCGGAUCGUAAAGCCCUUUUCUGUCGUGACGAGCAAGGACGGUAGCGCAGGAAUAAGUCUCGGCUAACUACGU
rnacentral:rRNA from 1 species